UGGAUGACCAGAUGAAUUGGUGUGAC
rnacentral:piRNA from 1 species